GAAGGUGAAGGACUAGAAGAAAAAAAGACGAGGGCAGUGGGAGCGAUUCAGAUGUUAUUAGACACAUUUACUAGGAUAAUUCUGGAAAAUCCCUUAUCUGCUUAUUGUGUUACUAGUGCUUUAGUGAGAUCAUAUGGUCGUACCUGUACAACCUGAGAGUCGGAGGGGUGUGGUGACCACCAGUGUCUCCGAGGGAAGCCACGUUUCUCGACGAGGGAAGGCAGGUGGGCUGAGAUUAUUAUUUUUUCCCCUUCUCCACGGUGUAAGUAUCCGACGACCGGGGGCGGACGGUGGGAGGAGGCAAGAGAGUCCGCAGCUGCAGGAGGAACGACGCAAGCUAUCCGCUCAUGUUUACGGGCAAUUUUACUGCAAGAUUAAAGAUCCUCACUUUGCAGCAAGUUUCAUCUUAAAGUAUGUUGGGCUGUCGCAUGGCUGCAGUUGUGUGUCCCCGAGUAUGCAAGAAUCCAGGAGAGUAGAGUGAAGGUAAGAAUAUUUAAUACUCAUAAGAAAAUAACAAAAGCAAACAUAAAGCAGUCGUGCAGAUAAACGUUCUCAACAUAAUAUUAUCAUCGAGCACUGAGGAGUGCUCGAGUGAAACAUAAAUAGACACUAGUGUGAUUGACAGCAGGUGUGAACCGCUGCCAAUCAACGAAAAGAGAAAAAACAGUGCUCCGUGAAUAAAACAGGAAAUACAACAAAAUAAGAGCACUGAACAGGAAGUAAAUACAAAAACACGAAAAACUAACAGAAAUGAAGUGACACAUUGUCACACAGUACAUAAAAAUAUGCAUAUAUACUCACACAUACACACACACACACAGUUAUUCAUACAUGUAUACAUACAUACGCUCCCACAUACAUACACAAAUACAAUACAUACCUACACACUCAAAGUUCGUACAUCCACACGCACAUUCACUGUACAAACAUACAUAUACACAUACAUGUACAUAUACAUUCACUGUGCAAACAUACAUGUACAUAUACAUUCACUGUGCAAACAUACAUAUACACAUACAUGUACAUAUACAUUCACUGUGCAAACAUACAUAUACACAUACAUGUACAUAUACAUUCACUGUGCAAACAUACAUAUACACGUACAUGUACAUAUACAUUCACUGUGCAAACAUACAUAUACAC